rnacentral:rRNA from 1 species
AUUGAACGCUGGCGGCAUGCUUUACACAUGCAAGUCGAACGGUAACAGGCCUUCGGGUGCUGACGAGUGGCGAACGGGUGAGUAAUGCAUCGGAACGUACCCAGAGGUGGGGGAUAACGCAGCGAAAGCUGUGCUAAUACCGCAUGUGAUCUGAGGAUGAAAGCGGGGGACCGAGCAGCAAUGUUUGGCCUCGCGCCUUUGGAGCGGCCGAUGUCGGAUUAGCUAGUUGGUGGGGUAAAGGCCUACCAAGGCGACGAUCCGUAGCUGGUCUGAGAGGACGACACGCAACACGGGAGUUGGGAACCGGCCAAGACCCAUACGGGAGGAGGAAGGGGGGAUUUUUGAAAAAGGGGCGAAGGCCUGCCCCAGAAAUGCGGCGGGAGGAAGGAGGGCCUUGGGGUGGUAAACCUUUUUGGGAAGGAAAGAAACGGUGUCCGCGAAACCCGGCCGGUAAGGCGGGUCCCUAAAAAAAAAGCCCGGGCAAACUCCGGG